rnacentral:lncRNA from 1 species
GUGAAGUCAUGGGCGAGGUCCGGCUCCCGUAGGAGUCCGGACGGAGCUUGCAGGUGAAGCGAAGAAUUCGAUCGAUGCUGGUGGGGUCCCAUCCGUCGGCAAAACUUAGGAGUGUGGUAGAGGUCGAAAGUCAGUUGGAUCCCCAGAGGGUCACUCCCAUCAUGAACUUUGGCUGGGGGGUAUUUUAUAUCCAACACCAGUCCCCUUACUUUCGAGUUCGAAUCUCGAAUGAAAGAAGUACAUAAAGAUUGUCACAGCCAAAGUUCCUCCCUCAAUGUCCACGCA